CCUACGGGAGGCAGCAGUGGGGAAUAUUGCACAAUGGGCGCAAGCCUGAUGCAGCCAUGCCGCGUGUAUGAAGAAGGCCUUCGGGUUGUAAAGUACUUUCAGCGGGGAGGAAGGCGAUGNGGUUAAUAACCGCGUCGAUUGACGUUACCCGCAGAAGAAGCACCGGCUAACUC
rnacentral:rRNA from 1 species